rnacentral:piRNA from 1 species
CAUCAAAGAAUUGGGUGACCACGUGACC